UACCCAAGCAGUAUUGGAUAUCAGGUGUCA
rnacentral:piRNA from 1 species